UAAGGAAUAUUGGUCAAUGGACGCAAGUCUGAACCAGCCAUGCCGCGUGCAGGAUGAAGGUCCUCUGGAUUGUAAACUGCUUUUCUCUGGGAAGAAACCCUUGAUUUCUAUCGAGGUUGACGGUACCAGAGGAAUAAGCACCGGCUAACUCCGUGCCAGCAGCCGCGGUAAUACGGAGGGUGCAAGCGUUAUCCGGAUUUACUGGGUUUAAAGGGUGCGUAGGCGGAUUGGAAAGUCAGUGGUGAAAUACUCCGACUUAAUCGGAGAACCGCCGUUGAUACUAUCAAUCUUGAAUGUGGUUGAGGCGGGCGGAAUGUGUCGUGUAGCGGUGAAAUGCUUAGAUAUGACACAGAACACCCAUUGCGAAGGCAGCUCGCUAAACCACCAUUGACGCUGAGGCACGAAAGCGUGGGGAGCAAACAG
rnacentral:rRNA from 1 species